rnacentral:snRNA from 1 species
GUGCUUGCUUCGGCAGCAUCUAUACUAAAAUUUGAAUGAUACAGAGAAGAUUGGCAUGGCCCAUUCACAAGGAUGACAUGCAAAUUCGUGAAGCGUUCCAUAUUUUA